rnacentral:lncRNA from 1 species
UGUUGUUGUUCUUUCCCAGCCCCGUUGCCUCUUGGCUUUCUUUUCCUUCACCAUUUCGUAUUUAGGGGCUCAAACAGUAGAUGAGACGUAAAGCCGGCAGCUGCAGCUCCUCCAAAGCAGCGAGGAGGGCGGAAGGAAGGAAGGAAGGAAGGGCAGGUGGAGCAACGGAGCAGAAAGAGCCGCGCUCCUCUCCUCGGAGCUGUCAGUUCGGGGAAGCCCUGGCUUAUCUGCCUCCAUCGCGGGCUCCGCAUCUGGCGGCGCGUCUUCAAAGGCUGUGCAGUCUUGGGUCGCGUGAAAAUUCUUGAUUCAUUUGCUGAAACUGAGUCAGGUCUCUCUCUUGAGCUCUUUUCUCUGAGAGGCUUUCAGGAUUUGCUGCCUUGCCACAAGAAGGUUUGGACACAGAGAACAGUAUCAGCUUCCAGAAUGGGUGAGUAAAUCUUUCUACUGUUCUCCAAAUAUUCUCCAGUCCAGAGCUGUCCCAGAGUAUAUGAAUGUUCAUCCCAUGCAAGGUUUAUAUUCUUCAUUUUUUCUGGAUGUCCUCGCAGUAUGAUCACCCAAAGCCACCCCUUUCAUAAAAAUAGAUAAACGGGCUGAUUCAGACCAUGAAAUGUAGGGGGCUAGGUGAAAAUUACAUGGUUCAGCACAGUCUUUUAGGAUAUUGGCUUUCGAAUGCCUUCAGUGUUGGAAAAGAUGUUAGAUGAACUCUAUUUAGGCAACAAAAGAUCUUGGACCAGCACUGUAAUUACUUAACUUGCUGUAAUUCCCAUUUAAACCUCACUGUCCUUAUGUUGGUGGACUGAAACUCCUAGCAGUCUUAGGUAGCGUGGCCAACAUCAAGCAAUUCUGAGAGUUACAGUCCAACAACAUCUGGAAAAACACAAAAUGCCCAUCUCUUAUUUAAAGCUUUAGUAGUGCCACAUUGACAGACCAAUCCCACCCACAUUUUUGUUGCUUGUUACUAUGGGCCUUCUCCACAGCAACCAAUCACUUCUGACUUAUGGCGACCCUAAGGCAAACCAAUGUAUAUUUCAGUUUUUAUUCUAAUAUAGAUUGUUUUUUGGGAUUUCAGCAAGAGUUGGAAACAAAACAUGUGUCAUCUAUGUAUUUGACUUAUUUUUAAAAAGCAUCUACGUGUAGCAAGUUGAUUUAACAUAAAUGCUUUUGGGGAUUUAACAGAUAGGCAAUUUGAUCCACAACUCAAUUAAAUAGAUAGAUUUAAGUCAUUUUAGACCCAUUGAAGACAGGGCUAUCUGAAAUUCAAUUUAGGUUGUGGAUUGUGAGCUUUGUAAUUCCUUUUUGCCACUAUAUCUUGAAUGUAAUGUAGGCCAUUAUAUUAGUUUAUGUGUACUACCAUAAACCUGCUAGUAUAUGUUUUUAUAACCCUAGACUUUCUGUAUUAAUUGAGCAUUCUUAGACUGAAGCUCUUUAAGUGCUAUUUGUCAAAACACAGGGGUUUAGUGAUUUUUGUAGGUGACCUAGUUUAUGACGAUCAAAACACUUAUUGGUCUGGAACCCCUUUUUUAAAAAAAGUUAUAACUCAUGCUAUGUUUUGGUUAGCUGCUGUGAGUCAUAAAAGUAUAUGUUGAGAUAUAUGUAGGACACUGUAUUUCUCUACUUAUAGCUGCUGUUUCCUUGCUCCCAGCUCUGUUUUUUUUUCCUGUCUAAUCCUGCUACCUUGUCUGCAUGAAAACCCACCUCUGGAGCCCAUGUUUGUGGAAUCUUCUUAAAUCUCUCCAUGUUGCCUUGCCCUUUAAAGUUGAGAACACUCUUCAACAUUUGGAGUUUUGAUGAAAAAGGUAAGCACUUGAAAUCCUUUAGUUAGUAACUUCUUUUGGACUCUUUGUAGUAUACUGAGCUUGACCAGUCUUGAUGUUUUCUGUCCUUUCUGAAUCUACAACUGAGUCUGUUUUUGAUAAUGUUCUCAGUCUUUCUUUGAUGGUUCAAAGAAAAUUAGCGAUACUUACAAAAUGGUUAGGAUUAGAGGCUUUGCUGCCAUCUAUGUAUGAACAAGAUCAGUGUCUAAUCUAAAAGAGCAAUUUAGAUGACUCCCUGUCUUAGUUUUCAAUCUCUAAAUAAUUCCAAAAUGACAUUUACCACUUUAAGUAAAACUAGGCCAACUUAAUUUCAUUCUUGUGCCUAAUGCUAUCAGCUGUUUUGAUUUACUGAACAGACCAUUAAUUGACAAGGACAUCUAUGUUCACCAGUUUUGCUAUGUCAUAAAGGUCUUAUAACCUAAUCUUCAGAGUAUUACAACAAGCUUUCUGGCAAAACAUGCAAGGUAGCCAAAGUUCUGAAUGUCCCAAAGUCAAGACCCUGAAACUAUUAGAGAAAAAUAAAGUA